AGAGCUCACAUUCCAGGAGAAACAUGUGCAGUUGUGUCUGAUGCCGCACACGUACAGCAGAUGGCGUAACAAGACAAAGAGGCGUCGGUGGCGCUGCUGAGGGAUCGGGAGCACAGAGAGUCUCUACACCUCAGCAUCCUGGCUCUCCGGCUGUGCACCUGCAGCCUCUCCUUGCAGUCUCUCCCCUCCUCCUGUCCUGCUCAGCGGCGGUCGGACAGCGGCAGUGCGCACUGAGCAGCGGGAGUGCGCAAAAGCGGCCGGCAUGCACCUGGAGAGAAACCGCCCCGCCAAGCCGUCCAAAGGCGCAGCCGAAGACGCAGCGGCGCGCAGAGCGAUGCUCUAACGGCGGGCGCACAGCAGCAGAGCACCGGGCGGAUAUCGGAGCCGCAGCAUGGGCGUGGGAGAGAGGCACAGCCGACAUGAAAGCGAUGUAAUCCCGCGGACAUAAGAGGGGGUGGUGGGGGGAACCCGAGUAGCGUUUUGGAUCAGAGUUGUUCCCAGGUGUAUUCCGGGGCUCGGUUUGGUGUCUUGCUCUCAGAAAUUCAGCAAACACAGUACUUUUUUUUUUUUUUUUUUUUUUCUCUGUCAGCCUCCGCUUGGAGAUUUUAAAGGAUGGAGAAGGGCGCACAGCAGCAGCAGCAGCCACAGCUGUCCAAAAGCGCAGAGAGUCCUGCGGAGGACAUCUCCAAAGUGCACGACGAGGAGCUGCUGAAGUGGGGCAAAGACGAGCUGGUGCGGCGGCUGCGGAGGGCAGAGGCGGAGAAGAGGGGCGUCAUCGUGGAGCACGGCAACCUAAUGCGGGAAGUGAACCGGCGACUCCAGCAGCACCUGAACGAAAUACGUAGUUUGAAGGAUGUGAACCAGAAACUGCAGGAGGACAACCAGGAGCUGCGAGACCUGUGCUGCUUCCUGGAUGACGACCGGCAGAAGGGGAAGCGGGUGUCGCGGGAGUGGCAGCGCCUGGGCCGCUACAGCGCCGGCCUGAUGAGGAAGGAGGUGGCCAUCUACCUGCAGAAGCUGAAGGAGCUGGAGCAGAGGCAGGUGGAGGUGAUCCGGGAGAACCUGGAGCUCAAGGAGGUGUGCCUCAUGCUGGAGGAGGAGAGGGCUACGGCUGUGGCUGGAGGGGGAGGAGGGGGAGGUGUGGGCGGGCAGGGAGGCCCGGGUCGCAGGAGCUCCAUCGACAGUCAGAGCAGCUUGUCUCAGGGUGGAAGCGUCCCGGCACCUGGCCUGCUGCGGGACGUCGGUGAUGGCAGCAGCACCUCCAGUGCAGGGAGUACCGAUAGCCCAGAUAACCCCCACCUCAAACCCCCCCCUCUGGGCUCCAGCGCCAGCCCUGGAUCAAGACCCGGAGACAUUUGUGAAUCCACGGGAAGGAGGCACAGUGCCACACCAGAGUACCACACCUUCCCUCAGUCCUGCCGCCCUCGUGGGGGGUCUCUCACCAACCUGGACCCCCGAGAUCUUCGGGGACACAGCCUAGAGAAACACAAGUCUCCCACCAGGCUACCAUGUGACUCACACCCCAAACCCUGCAGCUCUGACCUACUAGCCCAGAAACAGCUAUUGAUGUCAGGGCAGGCAUCGCCAGGCUGUGGGAAGGGCUCAGCCAAGUCCAGCCCAGAGCUGAGUCAGAGACACCGGCCGGUUCACACUGGGGGGGUAUGCUGUGGGAGUCCUGAGGCCAAGCAGGCGGCGAUGGGGACACCUGAGCACCUGAGGAAAGGGAGGGUGAUCGUGGGUAGUCCAGAGUCUAUACGCCACCACCAUCACUAUCAGUACAGUCCCGGGAUAGAGCACAGCAAAGGGAGGUAUUGCAGUGGCUCCCCUGACAGGGACGGGGGUCAGAGGAGGCCAACAGGAGAGGACAUGGCCCCCCACCACCAGAGUCUGUACAACGGUAGGCACAGGCUCUGAUCUCUGCUGGUUGCUGCACCAACUCCUGUCGGACUGUAAACCUUUGGGAAAGCUUUGAUUCCUCCUGACCACGACAUGCCUCUUGAUCAGAUGCUGCUGUGACAACACACACCCUAGAGAGAGAGAGAGAGAGAGAGAGAGAGAGAGAGACAGAGAGAAAGUAAAAGGAGGCUCAUUAGAGGGAUGAACAGAUGGGGAAGGAGAAAAGGAGCCUUUACAUAAGGAUAUAUUAUCGUGAAAUUCAAAAUGAAGCAGUGGAGGGGCGAAGGAGCAGAAACAUGGCGUCACAGAGGAGAAACACUGGGAAACACUUGAGCUCUCUCUCUGCCCUGUCUGCUGCUGCUGCCGCCACUGCUGCUGCUGCUCCUACUGCUGCUAUGCAUUUCCCAUGGACCACCAGAAAAACACCUGACUGUCAUUGUUCGGACGGGCGGAGGCUCGUCCCUGCAUUGCCAAAAUAAAGAGAGGAGAGAAAGAGAAAGACAGCUGAGAAUCUUUGUGUUGCCAACAAAAUAGUCCUACCUCUUUGGAAAGACAGAGACCUUGUGGAUGACAGAAGCUGUGCAUGGAGGGAGUAACUUCUCACGCUAACACUGGAGGUUACGGGACGUUUCACAGUCACAAUGCCAGUGAUCAUUUUAAAAACUUACUACCAACGUGUGAUGAUGGUAACUACUUUUACAAAGUUGUCGUGGACCCGGAAUUAAAGCACAAAAGGAGCUACUAACUGACCAAGAGAGCUAAAGGGGUUUUCUGAGUUAUUUAAAACACAGUUCUGUUUUAUUACAACUUAGUUUUUGUAGCUUUAGUCGUUUUUUCUAUCAUUUGUGGUAACAUACUCACCAAAGUAACUGCUGAGAUUUGGGGAUAUGACAACAUUCACAGAACAAAGUCCAGGGGGGCAAGAAACACAAGAGGUCAGACAGACAGACUGGGCUUAAACUUGUCAGAUUAACUAGAUUACCUAAACUUCUUUGAGUGCUCCCCAUAUGUUGAUAUUAAUCCCUCACUGCCCAUGAAACUAUGUUUACACACAAAAAGGGAUAAACUGCAUUGACCCACAAUUGGUAUCAAGGUUAAUCAGAGCUAACCCAUGAUGCUCUCCAGCUGUUCAGCGUGUGGUCGUGCCAGCAACUGAACUCAAGCCAAGGCUUUUAAAGUCUAGCUGUUUUCAGCUCUCACUUAAUUUACUUGUAUUUUUUUUACUUCCACCCUGUGCUGCAGCAAUUUGUAGAUCAGUUGAAUGGCAGAAACUUAGUUGGUUUCUUAAUCUUCCAGUCUCAUAAUUUAAAUAUGUUCGGAUUUUGACUGUUGGUUGGUCAAACCUAGACUUUGGGGUCCUUGAGCUUUGCGAAAUUGGGAUGGGUAGAAUUUUCACUGUUCAUGAUCAUGAUCAAGAAAAUGAUCAAUUGUUGUAGCCCUAAUUUCAAUUAACAAAUAUCUGGCUUGUUACAGUUGACUGAUUACUGUCAGUCAGUAAAGUGUAAUGAGAGAGCUGCCUGGAGGUGCAGUACCAGCAGCAGGCAGAAGAACCUCAUCAAGUAGUUUCGGGGCCUUUAUUUUAAAAAAAGGAAACUUCCCGUUGCAUGUUGUUAUUGGUACCUUGACCACAGAAGAGACCACGUUGUUUUGAUUGCUGGUGGGAAAGGCCAAAUGCGAAAAAGGUAAAUGAUGGACCAGUGAGUCUAUUACAAAGACUGACACAACAGAGGAUUGCUUUUAGACCUGAACACAUUUUGGCACCACUUUAUGAGCAGUUCAUAGAAAAAAAAAAUCGUCAUGGAAAACAGCCUUUCACCUCGUCACUCUGUCCUGCAGAAAAACAUUUGAAUGUUCACAGAUGCUCCUGACGAGUGACACCACCUAACCUUCGAAACCUCUCUGACCACUUGUGUUUUUUAUCCCAUCUAACUUGUUUAUUCAGAGCAAUCUACUUCACCAGAGCUACAACAAUCAGGCAAUUAAUUACCCUGUAGCCCUAAUUUGUUACGAUGACUGAUAGUAAAUACACUCAAAGCUACAACACUUAAAGUCAGGUUGUAAUAAAUACAAGUUACAUUUUGAAGACCUCUGUCAAACACAGUUUUUUUUUUUUUUUUUUUUUUUAAUUGAGCAUACAAGCAUACAACACAGUUAAUUCAAUUCAAUGGAAGUUUGACACAGCAGUUAGCAGCGCCGCUUGCAAACGAGUUCCAGUUGCCAUAUUUGGAAAGAAUGCGCAGCCUCUGUGUGAAACGUUGCUCCUGGGUAGCGACGAGGCGUUUACCCAGGGUGCUGUAAGGAACAGUUACACGGAGAACAUAUGGGGAUGUAUGGGGGGUGGGGGGUGGUCUGAAUGCUCUUGUUUAGCAGGGUAAGCUAACUCUCUGCUCCUGUUUAGCUUUGUGUCAGGGUCCGUUCCUAUACCAACAGUGUUAUUGCAUUCUAAACCUUGUGUCAGCGUUCGGUCAUAUGUGUGGCGCUGUGUGUGUGCGCUCGUCUUAAUCCGCACUCCUGGGUGUCUGGACGUGGACAACAUGCCUUGAGCGACAUUUAUCACUGUAAAACUCAAAAUAAUGUUGAUAUGAAAAGUCAUUCAGACUCUACGUCCACUUGAACUAUUGGACGCAUAAGUGUGCUCAUAGUUGGAAGUAGAAUCAUCGUUUGAGUUUACAACACAUCUGAAGUUAUUUAUGAUGGAUUGAAUAAAGACAUCUUGGAUUUGAUCAGCGCGUGCUUUCACAAACACACAGAGGUUUUUGCUGUGCUUAGCUUCGGCAGGAUUAGCAUUAGAGGAUGUCCGUCUGAGCCAAAGUAUGCUGGGUAAUUUAUGCCAGAACGUUCACUGUCUCUUUUAGAGCCGCUGCAGGAUUGAACUCAUCAAGACGUGUUGUCCCUAAUAAACCAGGACGCUCAGGUGUGCGGGAAACAUGACAUUUUACUCUGUGCACACACACACACAGUGGGUCACAAUAAUAUACACACAUACACAUACACCUACACACACGCGCACACAUACACACACACACACACACACACAUUUAUCCUUUAUCCAUAGUCUAUAACCUCUUCACCCUGUGAGUUUGUUUUUUUUAAAAAUUAGAUUUGGUGACAGAUGAACAAGAUCAGUACAAUAAUAUAUUAUCAAAGACAUUUAUGUUUUUAAAGGUCAAGAGUAGUUUAUCUGCGUAGUUUUAUAAAUAUAUACCUACAGUUAUUAUUUUUGACUUCUUGGUAUUAUAUAACUAAUUAUUAUAACCAGAGAUGUAUGUAUAAGCUAAUAAAAGUGUCUUUAUGUAAAAACAA